rnacentral:tRNA from 1 species
GCCUCUUCACCUAGUAUGGUGGUUACGACACUCGGCUCGUAAUCGAGUGGGCUCGGGCUCGAAUCCCGAAUAAGGCA